rnacentral:rRNA from 1 species
GACGAACGCUGGCGGCGUGCUUAACACAUGCAAGUCGAACGGUAAGGCCCUUCGGGGUACACGAGUGGCGAACGGGUGAGUAACACGUGGGUGAUCUGCCCUGCACUUCGGGAUAAGCCUGGGAAACUGGGCCUAAUACCGGAUAGGACCCUGGGAUGCAUGUCCUGGGGUGGAAAGCUUUUGCGGUGUGGGAUGGGCCCGCGGCCUAUCAGCUUGUUGGUGGGGUGAUGGCCUACCAAGGCGACGACGGGUAGCCGGCCUGAGAGGGUGACCGGCGACACUGGGACUGAGAUACGGCCCAGACUCCUACGGGAGGCAGCAGUGGGGAAUAUUGCUCAAUGGGCGCAAGCCUGAUGCAGCGACGCCGCGUGAGGGAUGACGGCCUUCGGGUUGUAAACCUCCUUCAGCACAGACGAAGCGCAAGUGACGGUAUGUGCAGAAGAAGGACCGGCCAACUACGUGCCAGCAGCCGCGGUAA